rnacentral:misc_RNA from 1 species
GAAAAUAAACAGGCAGCACAAAAGGAGGAGGAGAGCGCCGAUCCCUCAAGCUCAAGCAUGAUGUUCAACGAAGCAGCGGUCCCGUUCAUUCAGACGGCGCGCGACAACGGGCUGCUGUUUGGUGGCAGCAAUGUGCCAGCGAUGAUCGACUACACCAGUGAGCACAGAAAGAGCUAUCACGUGCGCGGCUCCGUCUUCGAGGUGGCGCCGCACUUUGAGGUGCUGAACGGGAUUGGGUAUGGCGCGUACGGUGUCGUAUGCGCUGCGGUAGACCUGCGUCUCGUCGCAUCCAGCGUCUACUACAACGAGGCGAUGCGCAUCAUCGAGGAAGGGGGUCGUAUAGUCACGCGGCAACGUCGCGGUCACGACGCGCCUGUGUACUUCCGCACGCGUGCUGUGCUGGACGAAGCCGGGCGAGGUGGGCCAGUGCGAGUUCCGCACUUGUACUCGGAACCGUUCAAGCGCCGUGUGCUGGCGUGCGGGGGGGUGUCUCCGUUCGUCGCAAUCAAGAAGGUGACGAAGGUGUUCGACGAUCUUGUGGAUGGGCGCCGCAUCCUGCGAGAGAUCAAGUUGCUGAGGUACCUGCAAGGGCAUCCGAACAUUGUGCGGUUGAUGGAAGUUGGGCGCCCCCACGUCCCCACCGGUGCCUCGUCGUCCGCCGCGUUCGAUGAUAUCUACCUAGUGACCGACCUCAUGGACACAGACCUAGCUGCCCUGCUGAAGUCAUCGCAGGAGAUCGAGAUGGACCAGUUCCGCUUUAUCGCCUAUCAGCUUAUGAAGGUGUUGGUGUACGUGCACAGCAGCGGCGUCAUCCACCGUGACCUGAAGCCGGGUAACAUCCUUCUUAACGGCAACUGCGACAUGAAGCUCUGCGACUUUGGCCUCUCCCGCGGCGGCGUUCCUGCUUGGCCGCAUGAGAGCACUCUAACGGCAGUCGCGACCGCAGCCGAGUCGAGUGCCAAAGAACUUGAGGAUUGGGGUCUAUUCUGCUGGUCAUCUUCCGCAGUCCGUGGGGCAUCAUCCGCCCCUCACGCCGCCAAGCAACCCCCGCUCUACAGCCUCACCGACUACGUUGUCACGCGCUACUACCGAGCCCCCGAGCUGCUCAUCAUGGGCCGCUACAACCACGCAAUCGACAUGUGGUCUGCCGGCUGCAUCCUGGCCGAGAUGCUGCUGCGCCGCCCUUUGUUCACCGGUGCCAACUACCUUUCCCAGCUGGCGUUGAUUCUGGAGACGCCGGGGCUGCGUGGCGUCCCGCAGACGCCGGAGCAGGUUGCCGCGCUCUUCGAGGGUGGCGAAGAGGGCAAGCACUUUAUCAACGACAUCCUUUUUCGCAAAACUGCACGAGGGCGGGAUUCGCUAACGCUGAGCAACCAGGUCCACUCGCAGGUCCUCUUCCACAGCACCCUCUUUGGCUUCAACGUGGACAUUCCUAUUAGUCUCGGCAUAUUGAUUGCCAAGCUGCUCUCCUUCGAUCCCCGAAAGCGGCCCACCGCCGUGGAGGCGCUGCGCGAUCCGUUUUUCCGGCCACUGUAUGACAGCAGAGAUGAAAUUCUUCGCUGCCCUGCAUCCGACCCAAGCGUUGCACGAGAGGAAAUCGAUGACAUCGCCGCCUACCAGAAAGCACACCCGUGCGUCGUGGUGGACGAGAGCCCUGUGUUCACGUGGGAGUUCGACCACCGCAUCACGAGUGCGCAGGCGUUGCGCAGCCUCUUCGAGGAGGAGUGCCAGAUCUCGCGCGACGUGCAGCAGCAGAUUGAAAGACAGCAGCGUCCACGUUGAUCUCCUGCAGUGUAGAAAUGUAGCGAAAGAACGACACUGGAGAGAGACCCGUUCUCUGGCGCUUCAGACGGCGGCAGCGGUGGUGAUGGUGCUCAUUGAAUUAUGGAAGCACACGCAAGCUACCCCCCCCCCCUUCUCCCUCUUAUUCCCACCUCCGCACACCCGCGCCUACCUAGCAGCUUGCCACCACUGCGGUGUGCGUUGUGUACCGCACUUCGUUUCAUAUAUUUUCGCGCGCUGAUCUUGCUUGCCUGCUCUUCAGUACACUGACCCCUCCACCACACACAAACACACAGACAUGUUCAAGCAGACCAUAUGAAAGCAAUACGCGCAGCGUUCUUUUUCCUCUGCCGUCGAACGAACCCAUAGCUUCAGCGUGACGGCUGGACCUGCUGUAGACGCUUUCUGUGUCCCCUCUUCAUCGCACCGCCACUGGCUCUGAGAAGAUCGCGGACAAUGAAGGGGGGGAUGCGAACUUGGAACAGUGUCGCGUGUGCGGUAGAGCUCUUGAAUAGUGCACAUCAUAGUGCAGUCGUCAAG